UCCCACUCAUUAACUUCACUGUCUUCAUCUCAGCUGCUGACACCCCCUGACACUCUUCUCCAGCACAACCAUUUAGCCAGCAACUCACUGCACCUGAAGUCAACUGGAAAACCAUAAGGGCACAGGAGCUCCAAUGUCGUCUUGCGUUCGCUGACUCAUCUGUCUGAUUUCAUGGUUAGCUGGUUCCUGAACCCCCUCUGCUGCCCCGUCUGCUGAGAUGUAAUUCGCCGAGAUUUCCCCUGAAACAUGAGCAAUGACAGGAGGAGAGGUAAAAAAGAAUGAGAGGAGAAAAAAGGCACUCCGGAUCAUCUCCUUAGGGUAUAAAUGGCCCUGCUGUCCCUCCAGUUAAGGUUACAUUCAGUACGGUUUGGGAAUAGAUGCUGUUUGAGUUAUUCACAUAGCAGCAGGCACGACAUGGUGUGUAUAUAGUGUAUAAUUUUACACAGCAUAUUCUCGGCAUAACUAACAUCUGGCUUUUGUUGAGUCUGCCUGAUAACCUAACUAGCUAAA